CAAGCAGAGGACUUGGGGUAACAAGGACCAUAGCGUCCUGCUCUGUUUCUGUUGCGUCUUUAUUACACCCAAAGAACUUAGCAUAAUGUCUUGGAACUAACGGCAGAUUCAUGAAUCAAGUUUGCAAAAAUGAGUCCUAUCCGAGUUCUAAGGUGGCCAUCCGUGUGGUCUAUACUAAGCUGGAAGUCCUUGAACUACUGUCUUCAAAUGGAGAGGAUAUGCUAAUGUGUGGUGAAGACACGCCUUCACAAUGAAGCAAGAGUCAUGUUCGCCUGCACCAGUGGGAAGUUUGACCUGAUGGACUCAACCAAGCCCUAAUGGUGUUAAACCAUUUUCAGCAAUGCUCGCAGACUGUCCUGGAGGACAACACUGUUAAUGCAGACAUGCUGUCACCGUUCCAGAUGUUAACUCUGAUUGUCCUCAGGGCUUCGUGUGUGUAUUGUACAGGUCAUCUAGAGCAACCUCAAAUUUCCAGUACCAAAAAGCUGUCUAACAGCCCGCCUGGAAUGUAACAAUUUUUACUACAUCUGUAUAUUGGUGUCAAGAAAGACCUGGUUAAGCCAUACAGCACCUGCUACACAUUUUCUCUAACAACACCAUCAAAAGGGAAGCAGGCAUUCUGUUGAGCAAGUUUGAGGCGGACAUGAUACCUGAAACUUCUACAUCGACCCUCACUGUUCACAAUGCACGGGAACGAGACUCUGACACCUAUUACUGUGCCCUCUGGGAUGU